AGUUAAGUUGAAUGCUGAAUUGGAAUUAGAGGUAGAACCGGAAGCAUUGGUGGGGUUAAGGCAUAAGCGCAAGAGUCAAACUACCAUACUUGAAGUACUGAUCAAGUGGCGUGGAUUACCAGAUUUUGAAACAACUUGGGAGGACUUCACAGCCAUGAACCAGCGUUUUCCUUCCUUUCACCUUGAGGACAAGGUGAAACUUUUUUUUUUUGGGGGGGGGGGGAGAGUAUUGUGAUGACUCAGCAACUGUUGGCUGUGUACACCAGGAAGAGGCACCGUAACCCACACUCAGCAGCAGCAGCAGACCAAGGCAAGACAGGAGGGUCAGACCUCCAACCGAGGAGAGAACAGGACACCAAUUCAGAGAUCGAGGUCAAAGCUACUUAAGGAAGUUUCAGGGAUCAACACCGAGAGUCAACUCAACAUUUUGGAGUAAGAAAAGAAAAGCAGAAAAGCAAAUGAACUAGAAGACAAAUACCAUUAAGAGAUUACUUGUAACCUGAUUUGUAUAUAUAAAGAAUAGGGUAGGAAAGAAAAGGCAUGUCUUUUGAAUAUUGAAAACAUUAGAGUGAGAUUGGCAACCUCAAGUUGCUUAGAGAUUGAUAACCUAAAGUUAUCUUGCUUAGAGAGUGAUAGCCUAAAGCUAUCUUGUGAACUGCUAUCUUUUGUAUUGCUGCCUGGAACCCUUGGUUAAUGAAAUCAAGCUUGCUUUUUGCCAUAUCCUUGUGUGUGUGUGUUCUGUGAUUGAUCCAGGAAGAAAGUCAGUCUAUUUCAUUGUGGUAUUGGGAUUUGAUUUAAUUUGAAGGUAGUCAAUCUCGAGUGUUGGUCCCUAGCCUUUCUCCAGAUUGGUGUGAUCUUACAACCCAAAUAUUCAGCUUUAGUAGUCUAAAGUGACAUUUAAUGAUCUUAUAGACAACUAGACAAGGUUAACAUCCUUUUUGUCCCAGAAGAAUAGUCAAAGACAUGGAAGUGAAACCAGAAAUCAAGACAAUUUCCCCAAGAAAGAAAAUUCUAAAAUGACAAUGAGUAGAGAUGUUAACAAAGGAAAGAGUUCUAGUAGUUAGUCUCUGAUGUCGAUUACAAACAUAAGCAAGAGAGUAACAAGCAACCAAACUUUGUUGAUGUAGAGGGUAACAAAUGAUAUCGUGCGGAUUUUUUCAACGACUUCCCAUAUUCCCUUCUUUCCCCAUUGAUAUACAUCUAGUAAGCUUCAUCUCUUUUUUCCCUCUUUUAAACAUUAUCAACAUUUUUUUUUUUUUCCAACAAAGUUUGUGUUCCAUUCUCAUUUAUCAUGUAACCUUGCAAAAGAAACAAACAGGAAAGCAAAAGAAGGACCCCCUUCCCCCUCUUCGUUAAAUCCUAUUGCUCAGCAUUAGGAUACAGUAAAUACGCUGAUUUGGGAGUAUUAAAAUGCAAAAGUAGUGAGUAUUGGUACGAAAGUAUUAACACGAAAUACGUGGGGGUUGGGGAGUAUUAGGUAAACCCGAGCGACACCCUAUCCUGAGGUGACCUGAAAAGGUGCCCAUGGUGGCAUGGUGUAGCAAGGUUUCCUGAAGAGUGAUCCACAUCCACUAAAGCUUAAGGUUGAGUUUUAUGUUUGUUCAGUCAAUACCUAUCUUGCUCUAGAAGAGGCUGCAGUAAAGCAACAAAGAUCUAGUAGAGCGGGAGAUACUAACCUGAUUUGAGGUGCAGAAAAAGCAAGAGCUUUGAAGGCAACAAGACAUCACAAUCUCAGGAACAUUGGAGGAUGAAUGGCUUAGGUGUAUACAAAGAAGCUAAGGAACUUAGCAAAGGAGAAGUAGCAAGACGCAAAGGACAGUGAAUCUGUACAAUAAUUAAUCAAAAGUUGCUAAAUUGUGACUUCUAUGGUACUUACAUAGUUGUUCAUACUGCACUCCGGCAACGGUUCCUUAUGAUGAUUUAUGUUGCCGAAUGCCGACCCCAAAUCAUUUCGGGACUAAGGCUUUGAACAUGGCUAGGUGCAAUUCUCCAGCUUAGGAUGGAUGAGUCUAGGAGCUCUUUUGUCCAUACAUGGGAACCUUAGAGGGCUUUGGCAUCCACAACAAGCACUGUGAGAAUGUCUCUAAGAAUGAAAGCAGGUCACAAUUAAAAGUGAGGAACUUUUCUAAAGUUAGUAGGCGUCACAUACAAGUAUAAAUUACUGAGAGGGAAAUAUUGUUAUCCAUCCGAUUUGUGUGAAGUCUUGUAAUCCUACUAUCAUCUUAUAAUGGAAGAGUUGGACUAUUAG